rnacentral:rRNA from 1 species
AGUGAACGCUGGCGGUAGUCCUAACACAUGCAAGUCGAACGGCAUUACAGUACUAGCUUGCUCUUACGGGUUGCGAGUGGCGGACGUGUCAGGAAUCCAUCGGCAUCUACUUUUUCGUGCGUGAUAACGUAGGCAAACAUCCGCUAAUAUCGCAUACGACCUACGGGUGAAAGCAGUAGAUCUUCCGCUCUUGCGCUAUUUAAUUAGCCGAUUUCGCCUUAUCUAGUUGUUGGGGUAAUGGCCCACCAAGGCGACGAUCCCUAGCUGGUCUGAGAAUAUGAUCAGCUACACUGGACCGCAGCCACGGUCCAGACUCCUACGCGCGGCCGCAGUGGGCAAUAUUGGACAAUGGGCGCAAGACUGAUCCCGCCAUACCGCAUGAGUGAGGAAGGCCUUCGGGUUGUAAAGCCCUUUUGUUGGGAAAGAAAAGCAGCAGAUUCAUACAACGCUGUUCUGACGGUACUCAAAGAAUAAGCACCGGCUAACUUCGUG